UUUAGGAUAAGCUUGACUUUUGUUCACAUAGAAAUGCAAAAGGUAAGUAUAUCCUAAAAGGCAAUGACAGUUUAAUGUGUUU
rnacentral:pre_miRNA from 1 species